rnacentral:pre_miRNA from 1 species
AGUGGGAUAGCUGGGUCAAAUGAUACUUUCUGUCCAAGUUUUAUUAGGAAUCUCCAUACUGCUUUCUAGAUUGGUUGCACCAAUUUGCAGUCCCACCAGCAAU